CAGUCGACGGCAGCGCGGGGCAACCUGGCGGCGAGUGGCGAACGGGUGAGUAAUAUAUCGGAACGUGCCCUGGAGUGGGGGAUAACGCAGCGAAAGUUGCGCUAAUACCGCAUACGAUCUACGGAUGAAAGUGGGGGAUCCGCAAGGACCUCAUGCUCGUGGAGCGGCCGAUAUCUGAUUAGCUAGUUGGUGGGGUAAAGGCCUACCAAGGCAUCGAUCAGUAGCUGGUCUGAGAGGACGACCAGCCACACUGGGACUGAGACACGGCCCAGACUCCUACGGGAGGCAGCAGUGGGGAAUUUUGGACAAUGGGCGAAAGCCUGAUCCAGCAAUGCCGCGUGAGUGAAGAAGGCCUUCGGGUUGUAAAGCUCUUUUGUCAGGGAAGAAACGGUGUGGGCUAAUAUCCUGCACUAAUGACGGUACCUGAAGAAUAAGCACCGGCUAACUACGUGCCAGCAGCCGCGGUAAUACGUAGGGUGCAAGCGUUAAUCGGAAUUACUGGGCGUAAAGCGUGCGCAGGCGGUUUUGUAAGUCUGUCGUGAAAUCCCCGGGCUCAACCUGGGAAUUGCGAUGGAGACUGCAAGGCUAGAAUCUGGCAGAGGGGGGUAGAAUUCCACGUGUAGCAGUGAAAUGCGUAGAGAUGUGGAGGAACACCGAUGGCGAAGGCAGCCCCCUGGGUCAAGAUUGACGCUCAUGCACGAAAGCGUGG
rnacentral:rRNA from 1 species